GGGGUUUUCCUAGAUGGCCCUGGUCGUUCAGAACGACCUACGUGCUUUUCCAGAAGGGGGAUUUUAAGCUUCCUAGCACCUGGAGUCAUGAGCAGUCACAAAUCCACAGAUUUUUGUUAGCCCUGGAAACAAAAACCAACCUGUAAGUCCUGGAAUCUUCCUUUUUUCUGAAGUUCACUGGGUGGGGAAAAAAGACACGAGGGGUUUGUAGCCUAGUGCCUGGCACCUGCCUGGCCCUAUUUGAACUUUAUAUUACCAGUCAGAUAUCCUUCUGAAAUGGCAGAAUCCAUCAAAAAGCUCUUGUAGCUAGCACAUUGUCAAGUAUAGCUCCAGCAGCCAGGGACCUGCAGGCAGCACGCAGAAGGUGGGGGCUGGGCAGGGAUUUCGCGACUUGGGCAAAAUGGCCCUGCGCUUCUGCCCUUGGCCACUAGGGGGCAGCGGGUGCCUUUCCCAGGGUGUUCACGGGGAGGGUGAGUGGGAGCUGGCCCGUAGAGCAGGUCUGAGCUCUGCGCUUCCCCUCCCCCCACCAUGCCAGGCCUCUCGGGCUGUGCCAGGGGUCACUGCCAGGGACGUGAGGGCAAUAUGAAGGAUGCCUGCCUCGGCAUCACUGAUCGGGGUUACCGGUGUCUCUUCAAAACACAAAUAAUGCAUAAGUCAGUAAUACUAAUCCUGAGCACUGACCAUGUGCCAGGCCCUGUUCUAAACCCUAUGGACAUCACCUCUUUUAAUCUGCCCCAGUCUUGGAGAAUAACUGCUGGUCUCAGCCCCAUCUGACAGAUCGGGAAACUGAAGCUCAGAAAGGUUGAGUAACUCAGCCAAGGCCACACAGCUAGUCCGCACGCAUCAGAGGCAGGCUUCCCACUCAGACGACCUGCCUGUAGCGCCUGCCUUCAGCCCCUGCGUGCUACUGUGUGGACCCAGGUUCGUUGCAAUUCUUGCUGCUUUCCAUGCUUGGGCUCAUUAUUUCCUCUGGGUUCUGAUGUACUUGGUCAGAGCAGAGCCAGGGCCUCUGUGUUUUUGAAAGUUCCCCACACGAUUUGAAUAAGCAGCCGGGGCUGAAAGGUGCUUUCUCGGGGAUACUGGUUGUCAGCAUUUCCACACUGCAGGAGGCCAGCCUGGGAGCUCCCCGGGGCGCCCAGAGAUGCCCAUGGUGGGUGUCCAGAAGCUGAGGCCCCCAGAACCUACCUGCUUCCUUGAGACCCUCCCUCCUCCUCCCUCCCUGGGGACAAUGUGUCACUCCUGGAGCAGAAGGCAGCCCGUUGCUCAUGACUCCGUGAAGCAGCCACCUGCAUGCCUUGGCCAGCACAGCCUCACCCCAGCCACCACCAUAAGCCACCCUAAGGGCCUAGUGGCACCCAUUCCUGGCCACUGGCCUUUUCUAUUACGUGUGUAGACAGUUUGCACUCGCAGGGAGCAUCACCCCAUCACCCUCGUCCUCGCCUGCAGAAGUAGAUCUCGCUCCCAGCUGCACCUCAGCCUCUCCACCCCACCCCCACCCUGGCAUGCCCACCUCCUCCCCAGUGUUCUGAUUUAACUAAUCUCCACAGUCUUGGGUGUUUUGCAAAAGCCCCCAGGUGAUUCUUCUAAUGCGGGGCCAAGGCUGAGGACACUGAACUAGUGACCCCAAAGGUCGAUUAAGCACACCGUGUUGGUGCUGGACAGCUCAGCUCUGCCUGGGUUUCUGUUCACCUCUACCGCCCAUCGGCUGCGUGGCCUCAGGCAAGCCAGGCCACCUCUGGAGGCCACAGUCUCCGCAUCUGGAAGGGGGAAAUAAUAGUAAUACCCACGUGAUAAGUCUCACGAAGACCGAGUGAGAAAGUGCACGUCACUUCCUUGGUACCGUGCCUGGCACAUAGUAGGUGCUUGUGAAUUCCCGUUGUUACCACUGUCCUGUGCCAAAAAAUGGAGUGUCUCUCAGAGAGAGCCCAGACAUUUCAGAACGGUGCCCAGAGUCCGGUAGAAGGGCCCAGCCCAGUGUGUCCAAACCGCCUGGAUUGAGACCCCGGGGGUCGCUGCUGGAGAAACCCGGCCAACGCCCGCUGGCUUUCCAGCCUCCCUGCCGGCCCCCUCCCGGGAGAGGUGGUCACCUAAACACCAGCGCCCUCUUUGCCAGCAGUUUCUCAAGUCAGCAUUUGGAGCCGCUCCCAGCCUCUGCAGCCUACCGUGGAGUUAACACCCACCCAUACGGCCUGAAGUUCACAAUUCCCUGGGUCUGGCAGAGGUCUCACGUUGGGAGACAGGCAGCAAAUAUUGUGACUCACGGCAGACAGAGUAGCUGCUGUGGUCUGCGCCUGUGCUCUCUGUUGGGGAGGAUUUUCUCCUGGCGGACGGCUAGAAGCCUGUCGAGUUAGGGGAGGUGGCUGUGGGUCGGCACACGGUCAGGCCCCCGCUGGCCAUCCCAGGGUGCUUGGGCCAGCCCCUUUGCCUCUCCAGGACUCUGUUUUUCUUUCAGCUCCCUGUCAAGAGCUUUUGGUAAGGCGCCUAGCUUGGGGUACAGCACCGAGCAGGCACCCCCUUCCCCAGCCUUUGCUGGCUUUCAGCUGGUCGGGCCCAGCCCCUUGGCUGUCUCUUAGCACCCUACUGUGUGCCAGGCCCAGUCACUGUCUUAGAUGAGGAAACGGAGGCCCAGAGGGGUAAAGCAACAUGCCUACAGUAUGUUUGUACCCUAAUUCCCAGGCCACAGUCACAUUUCCUCCUAAUUGUCCCCCAAAUGUCCAGGAUCCUGUCUGGGACCACACAUCUGGCUGUUAUGGCCCUAAAUUCUCACCCCCCCCCCUUUUUUUUUUCCUCCAUAACACGGUUUACUCAAGAGGCCUGGCCGGCUAUCCUGCAGAACGUCCCAUCGUCUGCAUUGUCCAUCAGAGUCCAGCCCCUCCCGGUGGCCCCUCCCGGUCAGCUCCUGAAUUGCUAACAGCCGGCCUUCCUGAGCACCUGCUAUACGCCCAGCGUGGUGCCUGGUGCUGUUUGCCUUAUCCCUGUGAACCCACUCGGGUCAGUGAGAUAAGGAUGCUGAGGCUCAGCGAGAUGAGGUGAUGUGCCCGAGGCCAGCCAGCUGGUAAGUGGGACUGAAGCCCAGACCCUUUGGCCCCAAAGCCACUUUCUCUCCCUCUACCCUGGGCAAUCUCACAGGAUCUCACAAGCAAGUGACUGUCUGGCCCGGGUCUAAAUGGCUGGGCCAACAUUGCUUCCCAGAGCAUGCUUCUUGGUCACGGAACCCAGGGGACAUACCACCUGGCACUGGGGUCCCAGGGGUGAACAAGACCCAUCCUUGCCCUCUAGGGCUCACAGGGAAGAGCCAGAUAAGCAAACUGACAAUGACUGUAAAGAUCAACAGGUUCUGAGUUACCCUGGGAGCCCAGGAAGGGGUGGGACACAUCCCAUCUGGUGUGUGGGGAUGGGAUCAGGGGAGGCUUCCUGGAGGAGGAGAUGCCUGGGCAGAAUUUUGGCUGAGUUGGGAGGUGGAGGAGGGCGUUCUAGGCAGCAAAGGCACUGAGGCGAGCAGUGCUGGACCAUGUGCAGAGAAGCCCCAGGUGGUUUGGUGUUCAGAUGGUGCCCGGAGCCAACAUGAGGCAAGGUUAUCCUGAGAGCCCUGGGGAGCCAGGGUGGGAAGUAGGCACCCGAGGGCAGGUCACAGCUGUGCUUUGGAAAGUCCCCCAGCUGUGGCAUCAUGAAUGCAUGGAGAAGGGCAGUGGGAAGUGAGGGACGGCAGCGUCUAGAAGGUAGCAGUGGCAUUAGGGACGGAUGGAGAGGUGGUGACCGAUGGGAAGAUAAGCAGGGUGCCUGGAGGGACGUUCUGAUUUGGGGGUCCAAUUUGUCUCCUCUGUUCAGGGAGCAGAUACACUCCUUUUUUUACCAGUCUCCUGCCUCUGCUGACUCCCUAGUUGGCCUGGGUGUCUUUUAUGCCUUUUCUAUUAGUGCCUUAGGGCUGCCAUAACAAAGUGCCACAGACUGGGAGGCUGGAAACAACACAAAUACUUUCUCGCACGGUUCCGGAGGCUGGAAGUCUGAAAGCAGGGUGUCAGCAGGGUCACGCUCCUUCCACGACUCUGAAUGGAAUCCUUCCUUGACUCUUCCGGCUCUGGAAGUGGCCAGCAGUCCUGGGCAUCCCCCGGCUCACAGCUACAUCCCUCCACUCUCUGCGUCUGUGGCCACACAGCGGCUUCUCCCCGUGUCUCCGUCUCACGUGACAUUUCCCCUUCUCAUAAGGACACCAGUCACACGGGAUCAGGGCCCACGCUGAUGACCUGAUCUUACCUCGAUGACAUCUGCUGUGACCAAAUAAGGUCACAUUCACAGGUACCAGGGGUCAGGGCUUCGCCGCGUCUUUUGGUGAGGGACACAACAGAACGCCUAACACUCUGAAGGGCAGGCAUUUUCCCGGUUCACGUCUUCAGCUCCCAGCCCUCGCCCAGAGCCCGGUGCGUGUCAGCACUCAGAGCGGGAGGUCACGGGACGAACAAUGAGCCGAUGGAGUCGAGGCGUCCAGCCUCUCCUCCGUGCUGACCCCCACUCCUCUGACAACGCAGCAGCCCCAGCCCAGCCGGCAUCUGGGCCACACAGGUCUCCAGGGCCGCCUUUCCCGUGGGUUGUUCUCUGAAAGAAGUGGUGUUGAUGUCAGCAGAUGCCUGUCACUUUCCUUCCCCAGCAAAAUCUCAACUGUCAGAGUAAGUGAAAUAGUCAUUGCCUAUCCCCACAUUUGAGAUUUUAUUGACAGUUUCAUUGUCACCCAAAAAAACCUCCUUUUCUCCGUUGGCAUUUUUAUCAGGUGAUUCUGGGGGCAGGAGGGGGAUGAAGGGCUGGCUCCUGAAAACGGGUUUUGGCAGGUGGUGGGGGCUGGUUCCCCGGCCUGGGGGCAGCGCGGGCAGAAGACCCCCACGGUGGGCUCCACCAUGCCUCGACUCCCGCCAAAAACUGCUGGGUACCCCGUCCAGGGGGCAGGAGGGAAGUGAGAGAUUGGGGGGCCCCUGGAAAUAACCACAGUGGCCGAAUGGGGCUGCCCAGUUUGGUGGGUCUUUAGGCCCCUCUCCUGCCUUCCCCAGUGGGCACUGGGGAGGCAUCCGGGGGCUGGGGUGAGAGCAUUCAGAAUCAGACCACGUGGGUGCAGUUCUCAGCUCAGCGAUAUGUACUUUAGGGCAAGUACUUUGCCCCACCGAUCCUCAGUGACCCCAUCUGUUAAAUGGGGUAGUAGCAGGUAAAUUCCAUUGUCUGAGGCUUCUUUGGACUGAGUACCCAUUACCUGGUUCGGUCCUCACCAGAAUCCAGACAGCCGGAUGCCCUCAGGAUCUUCACUUUAAUGGUGCAGAGAGGCAAGGUGGCCCGGCCAAGGCCGGCCACCCAGCCGGGAGGUGGAGGGAGUGGUUUGAACCCAGAAUGUGAGCCUCCCAGCUCACCCGUGACUCCGCCUCAUAGGAUUUGUGGCAGAGUGCAGGCAGUAACGUGACACCGCACUGGCACCCAGGAAAAAGCUGUCUGCUCCUCUGAUCGUCAUUGUUGUCAUUGUUGUCGAAUGGGCCCCUCGGCAGCCACCCUGUCCCUGGGGCUCGUGGGUGGGUGUUGGCCCAGGGGACGUGGAACGAGCUCAGGGGUUGCACGGGGUCCGGGGACCCAGCCAGGAGUUCCAUCCCGCUCCGUGCCAUGACCCCCUCUGCGUCCCCCCUCCCUGGCCCCCAGCAGUGCUGCAGGUGGGACGGUCGGUUACCAAGCGGGCAAGGGCAGCUGGCUAGGGUGGCAACCCCAGGCCUUGCAAAGCUGCUUCGCCGCAUCCAAGCUGCGCAGAUGGAAACGAGGCCCGGAGAGCCGCCCCUGCCUGGGGCUGCCCAGCCAGGCAGGUGAAUACAGCAGUGAAGUUAAAACAACGGAUUCUCGAGUCAACUGGAUCUGAGUUUGAGUUCUGCUGCGCCCACUGUGCCCGGGACGAGUCUCACUGAGGCGCAGCUUCCUCCUCUGUCCAGUGAGAAGCAGCCCGGUGACGCGGAGACGACAAACUCUAUUUUGUUCUUCAGCUGAGACUCAGAGAAGUUCAAUAACCCACCAAAGGCGGCACAGCUAGUAACUGCCGGAGGUGGGAUUUGCACCUGGGACCAGCCCUGCUCCUAGUGUUUUCCCCUGCAUCCCAGGGCAGCUCUGGGAGAGCUGGCCCGGGGGUCUUGGGCUGAAGAUUCUGGAAGGGGGCUGGGCAGGGGGUGGGGGGAGCAGGGCCCAUUGCCCCCGAUUCAAGGUAGAGAAAGGCCAGUAAGGCGCGGGAGGCAGGGCAGAGGGUCUGGGCUGGUACCCUGAGCUCUGCUGGAAGCCACUCUGGGCCGCGGCGGGGACGGAGGCUGCCCCUUAUCCCAGCUUCACGCAAACCAAUAAUUUCCCACAAUUAUCUGGAAAAGAUUAAUUAGCAAAGUGCACCAUAUUGACUCAAGGCUGCCCUGGCGAUCGAUAAACUUGGGAGGGUCUCCCAGGUGCCUGGAGAAAGGACCAGAACUUGAAAAUGGGGAGGGAAGCCCGGCUUUGACAGAUCUGAGCCUCAUCUUGCAGCCCUGGGGAGAGGAGAGCAGGCUCCCCAGGGGGUGUAGGGGGCCGGUGGGACGGCCGCUGUGGAGGGAACCCGUCU